GCCCGCGUAGCUCAACGGCAGAGCACGGCUUUCGUAAAGCUGAGGUUGUAGGUUCGAAUCCCACCGCGGGCU
rnacentral:tRNA from 1 species